AUCUGGCAACCCGUAGAUCCGAACUUGUGGAGUUUAUCUCACAGGUUCGCCUCUACGGCUCUCUAGCAU